rnacentral:lncRNA from 1 species
AAGCCACAUCUGUAUAAGGACUUUCUUAUACUCUCCUGACUGAGUUAUCUACUAUAUGGAAUUAAUCCACAUAGCAGAGGAGAUUAAAAUAGGAAUAACAUUUGUGAUAAGCAGAUGUUUCCACUUAGCUGUCUGUACAGCCACCUACCUGCUGGAGGUUGACCAGCUCUUAUAUAAUGAAAAAUGGUUGAUUUAUUAAUGAAAAUACAGGGCUCUGCUCAAAAGCAUGUGUAUAUACUUUAGAACCUCAUUUCUUAUCCUCACCUCAAAAAGUAGUUUCUAAAAACCGUAUCCCUAG